rnacentral:misc_RNA from 1 species
UGAUUUAUUUUUUAAUGUUUAUAUUAUUUGAAUAGUUUUAUUCAAAUAAUAUAAAAAAUAAUAUAUAUAUUGACAUGGAUUAAACAAAGAUAUAUAUUAUUCUAUGUUGUAUAAACAAAUUGGCAAAAUAGAGAUGGAAGAUAAAAAUAUGGUCAAAGUAAUAAGAGUCUAUGGUGRAUGCCUAGGAGCUUUAAGGCGAAGAAGGUCGUGGUAAGCUGCGAAAAGCUUGGGGG